rnacentral:rRNA from 1 species
ACGAGAAAGUGGAGCAAUCCAUGAGUACAGUGGCGCACGGGUGAGUAACACGUGACUAAUCUACCUCCGAGUGGGGAAUAACCUGGGGAAACCUGGGCUAAUACCGCAUAACACUUACGAGUCAAAGCAGCAAUGCGCUUGGAGAGGAGGUCGCGGUCGAUUAGUUAGUUGGCGGGGUAAUGGCCCACCAAGACGAUGAUCGAUAUCCGGCCUGAGAGGGCGCACGGACACACUGGAACUGAAACACGGUCCAGACUCCUACGGGAGGCAGCAGUGGGGAAUUUUGCGCAAUGGGGGAAACCCUGACGCAGCAACGCCGCGUGGAGGAUGAAGCCCCUUGGGGCGUAAACUCCUUUCGAUAGGGAAGAUAAUGACGGUACCUAUAGAAGAAGCCCCGGCUAACUUCGUGCCAGCAGCCGCGGUAAUACGAGGGGGGCAAGCGUUGUUCGGAAUUAUUGGGCGUAAAGGGUGCGUAGGCGGUUUGGUAAGUCUUGUGUGAAAUCUUCAGGCUCAACUUGAAGUCUGCACGAGAAACUACCGGACUAGAGUAUGGGAGAGGUGAGUGGAAUUUCCGGUGUAGCGGUGAAAUGCGUAGAUAUCGGAAGGAACACCUGUGGCGAAAGCGGCUCACUGGACCAUAACUGACGCUGAGGCACGAAAGCUAGGGGAGCAAACAGGAUUAGAUACCCUGGUAGUCCUAGCCCUAAACGAUGAUCGCUUGGUGUGUCGGGUACCCAAUCCCGUCGUGCCGAAGCUAACGCGUUAAGCGAUCC